AAUGAUGCUUCUACUAUAGAUUUCAGAUUUGAUCUAAUCAAAUCUGAUUCUAUGAGUUCACUAGAUUGUGUCGGUUCUUUUAUCUGUCGAAUUUCAUAAGUUUCAUAUUAAAGGCAUCAGUUCCUUCACCAAGGUACUCUUUUUUUCAAAAGAAAUGCCGAAUAAUUUUUAUUCUUUAGCAAAGUAGAAGUUAUAUCCCUUAGAUUC
rnacentral:lncRNA from 1 species